rnacentral:rRNA from 1 species
GAGUCAUUGUAGCAUACAAGGCAUACGGCUCAGUAACGCGUAGUCAAUCUAACCUAUGGACGGGAAUAACCUCGGGAAACUGAGAAUAAUGCCCGAUAGAACAUUAUGCCUGGAAUGGUUUAUGUUCCAAAUGAUUUAUCGCCGUAGGAUGGGACUGCGGCCUAUCAGUUUGUUGGUGAGGUAAUGGCCCACCAAGACUAUUACAGGUACGGGCUCUGAGAGGAGUAGCCCGGAGAUGGGUACUGAGACACGGACCCAGGCCCUAUGGGGCGCAGCAGGCGAGAAAACUUUGCAAUGUGCGAAAGCACGACAAGGUUAAUCCGAGUGGUUUCUGCUAAAGAAACCUUUUGUCAGUCCUAGAAACACUGAUGAAUAAGGGGUGGGCAAGUUCUGGUGUCAGCCGCCGCGGUAAAACCAGCACCUCAAGUGGUCAGGAUGAUUAUUGGGCCUAAAGCAUCCGUAGCCGGCUCUGUAAGUUUUCGGUUAAAUCUGUACGCUCAACGUACAGGCUGCCGGGAAUACUGCAGAGCUAGGGAGUGGGAGAGGUAGACGGUACUCGGUAGGAAGGGGUAAAAUCCUUUGAUCUAUUGAUGACCACCUGUGGCGAAGGCGGUCUACCAAAACACGUCCGACGGUGAGGGAUGAAAAGCUGGGGGAGCAAACCGGAUUAGAUACCCGGGUAGUCCCCAGCUG